ACACCUCAACUCUCAUGGUUUGCCAUGAUGAGCUUGGACUUUGGGGGUCUUGCUGGCCUAUGGUCAGCUCCUCUCAAACAAAUCAGCUUGCCAGUGUUUGGUGGCAUCACAGGUGUGAUAACUAUCUACGCUUGUGGUUUUCCACCAGGUAACCUUCAGUGAUGGAGGUUUGCUGGAGCUCACAGAUGUCUCUCCUCAGCGAGGACAGCUUUUUUAAC
rnacentral:misc_RNA from 1 species